UAGGGAAUAUUGGACAAUGGGUGAGAGCCUGAUCCAGCCAUGCCGCGUGCAGGAAGAAGGCGUUAUGCGUUGUAAACUGCUUUUGCCAGGGGAUAAAAAGACCGUGCGCGGUUAAUUGAAGGUACCUGGUGAAUAAGCCACGGCUAACUACGUGCCAGCAGCCGCGGUAAUACGUAGGUGGCAAGCGUUGUCCGGAAUUACUGGGCGUAAAGCGAGUGUAGGCGGUUUGGUAAGUCGGAUGUGAAAGCCCCGGGCUCAACCCGGGAAGUGCAUUCGAUACUGCCAAGCUAGAGUAUCGGAGAGGUUGGUGGAAUUCUCGGUGUAGAGGUGAAAUGCGUAGAUAUCAAGAGGAACACCUGAGGCGAAGCGGGUUGCUGGGCUG
rnacentral:rRNA from 1 species